UGCGCAGGCGGACUAAUAAGUCAGAGGUGAAAUCCCACAGCUUAACUGUGGAACUGCCUUUGAUACUGUUAGUCUUGAGUGCAGUUGAGGUAGGCGGAAUGUGUUAUGUAGCGGUGAAAUGCUUAGAUAUGACACAGAACACCAAUCGUGAAGACAGCUUACCAAGCUGCUACUGACGCUCAUGCACGAAAGCGUGGGGAGCGAACAGGAUUAGAUACCCUGGUAGUCC
rnacentral:rRNA from 1 species